UGAACGCUGGCGGUAGGCCUAACACAUGCAAGUCGAACGGCAGCACAGUAAGAGCUUGCUCUUACGGGUGGCGAGUGGCGGACGGGUGAGGAAUACAUCGGAAUCUACUUUUUCGUGGGGGAUAACGUAGGGAAACUUACGCUAAUACCGCAUACGACCUACGGGUGAAAGCAGGGGAUCUUCGGACCUUGCGCGAUUGAAUGAGCCGAUGUCGGAUUAGCUAGUUGGCGGGGUAAAGGCCCACCAAGGCGACGAUCCGUAGCUGGUCUGAGAGGAUGAUCAGCCACACUGGAACUGAGACACGGUCCAGACUCCUACGGGAGGCAGCAGUGGGGAAUAUUGGACAAUGGGCGCAAGUCUGAUCCAGCCAUACCGCGUGGGUGAAGAAGGCCUUCGGGUUGUAAAGCCCUUUUGUUGGGAAAGAAAAGCAGCAGGUUAAUACCCCGCUGUUCUGACGGUACCCAAAGAAUAAGCACCGGCUAACUUCGUG
rnacentral:rRNA from 1 species